UAGCAUGUCGACACCCGCCGCAUCCAAAUUUAGGGUUUAUCAUUCUCUUCGUUCUUCACUAUUCCAAAAAUUGUCAUCGUCAGGAGUCUCAUCCUGAGGUUAUAAUCACGUCGUUUCCUCUUCUCUUACACAAUCGAAACGCUCCCAGUUACAGAUCCAUGGUUAAACACCUUCUUUGAUCCACCAACCAUGAUCGUGCCUUCAAUGCGAGAUUCUCUUCUCCAAGUCGGUCUAUCUGCGAGUAUAAAUAGUACCCAAUCUGUGCUUGCGCUAUUCUGCAAUACUGCGUCAUAAUGUGUUGCGUCAUAAUGCGUUGGGAAAUAUUUCUGAAUCGAUUGCUUCGCAACUACCUACACUACCACCUUUAUGAUCAAUCAGAGAAGUUGAGAUCAAAAAGCAACAAGAUUUGAGGCACAUUAUUCUAGCCAACAUGUUUAUCUUUUAGUAGUUAUUCUUUCAUAAUGAUUGAUUAUUGUAGCUUUCUAGAUUACAGUUUAGAUAGUUUCUAUGAUACUGCGUCAAUAUGUAAACCCAUUGGGUAUGAUAUUUUUUUCUUAUCAUGUACUUGCUGUUUUUGUUUCUUGAGACAGUCUUAUUGUUAUUCAACUAUUUUAUCUAAUAUGAUAUCUACAUGCUUACUCCUGUCA